rnacentral:rRNA from 1 species
GAUGAACGCUGGCGGCGUGCUUAACACAUGCAAGUCGAACGAAGCACUUUAUUUGAUUUCCCUCGGGACUGAUUAUUUUGUGACUGAGUGGCGGACGGGUGAGUAACGCGUGGGUAACCUGCCUUGUACAGGGGGAUAACAGUUGGAAACGGCUGCUAAUACCGCAUAAGCGCACAGCAUCGCAUGAUGCAGUGUGAAAAACUCCGGUGGUAUAAGAUGGACCCGCGUUGGAUUAGCUAGUUGGUGAGGUAACGGCCCACCAAGGCGACGAUCCAUAGCCGACCUGAGAGGGUGACCGGCCACAUUGGGACUGAGACACGGCCCAAACUCCUACGGGAGGCAGCAGUGGGGAAUAUUGCACAAUGGGCGAAAGCCUGAUGCAGCGACGCCGCGUGAGCGAAGAAGUAUUUCGGUAUGUAAAGCUCUAUCAGCAGGGAAGAUAAUGACGGUACCUGACGAAGAAGCACCGGCUAAAUACGUG